UACAGAGGUCCCAAGCGUUGUUCGGAUUCACUGGGCGUAAAGGGUGCGUAGGUGGUGAGGAAAGUCGGAUGUGAAAUCUCCGGGCUUAACCCGGAAAUGGCAUUGGAAACUACCUUGCUAGAGGUUUUGAGGGGGGACUGGAAUUCUCGGUGUAGCAGUGAAAUGCGUAGAUAUCGGGAGGAACACCAGUGGCGAAAGCGGCUCUCUGGGGGCAACCUGACGCUGAGGCGCGAAAGCGUGGGGAGCGAACCGG
rnacentral:rRNA from 1 species